UACGUAGGUGACAAGCGUUGUCCGGAUUACUGGGCGUAAAGAGCGCGCAGGCGGUCGUUCAAGUCGAGUGUGAAAGCCCCCGGCUCAACUGGGGAGGGUCAUUCGAUACUGAUCGACUCGAAGGCAGGAGAGGGUAGUGGAAUUCCCGGUGUAGUGGUGGAAAUGCGUAGAUAUCAGGAGGAACACCGGUGGCGAAGGCGGGUCUCUGGCCGAUACUGACGCUGAGGAGCGAAAGCGUGGGGAGCGAACAGG
rnacentral:rRNA from 1 species